rnacentral:lncRNA from 1 species
CACCCCACCUGCAGUCUUCACCACCUCGCCGGCGGCCACGGGGGCUAAAAACGAUAAGAGAGACGGUGGGGGGUGCAUUUUGUGGGCAUCUGACUCUUCCAGGGCUGGGCGGAGCCAAGGACACUGGGCUUGGAGUCAUUCGGGCUGGAUGGGGCUGAACCCGCCCAUGUCUAUGGCCUGCUGAGUCCUGUCCUCUUGCAGAGCUCUUUUCGUCAUCUGCGCAAUGGCAGGAAUGAGACGGAAACCAGUGAAGCGUUCCUCGCAGGGCCUGUGACCUUAUGAGGUAAGGAUGGCCACUUGGAACCCUUGAAGCUGUGAGUCCCCUUGACUUCCUCCCAGGCACUGCCCUCCCAGAAGUGAAGGUACCAGGAGGCAGAGGAAACAGUAGCACCACGGUGCCAUCCUGGAUCCAACGGAGCAGGUGACAGACAGCAGGGGUCACAGGCAGGCCAACUUGGACUGAGGAAAAAAAAGUCGCAGGAAAGCAGCUGGGCAUCCUGCCUUGCUUCGCCCUUGGACUUCUGCAGGGUCCGUUUGCCCUUUGUUUGACUCCCAGACCCCACUGAGCUGGGAACCAACCAGUGGGCUGGAAGCCCAGGAUGGGGUGGCCCACCUAGUAGGGACGACAUUUACUUGCACAAAAGAUGGUCUCCAGGAGCCCCUUCAGGACCGAAGCAGGGAAACACUGUCGCCCUGGAGAGCUGGGAGAGGGGGAGGCAGCAGCAGUCGCUGGCCAGAGAGGGGCGAAACAGAGCUCAGGGUCCCUGCAGCGGGUGGGGGAAGCUCAGGUCCAGGUGGGCUUUGUGUUCCUUGAGGUUCUCCGCCAAGGUUCUGCUUCAUCAGGCCUCUGCCGAGUUCUCUGGCCUCACCUGUCCACCGCUGCUCCGUGCAGCCACCUUUCCCCUGCUCCCCAAGGUGCGUCCAUUUCUGAGUUUCCCUCCUCUGGACCUGUGACCAUGCCAUCCCUCCUGCCUGGACUGCCUCCCAGUCUCUCAGUAGUACCACCUCCAGGUUCAGCUUGUGGUUCCGGCUGGUGGGUGUGCCACAGCCAGACGCUGUGCUCAGCGGGGAUACCCUAACCCUGGGUGAUCUGGGGUCACUCCCGUCAACCUGGGGGGCUCUGCAGGCAGGGAAGAGCCUCCUGGGUCUCUGCUCCAGCCCUGGCUUUACACAAAUGUGCCUGAGAAAACACGGUGUCCUGACACCUGGCCUCAUGCCACCUGGUGACGGCAUCUGAGCCAUCACCAGUGAUCAUUCACCCCUUUUCCCUUUUCCAGACAGCACGAAAAUCCAACACGCCCCUCACCGGAGGACUGGGAGGCUCCCGCGUUUUGGAUUCUGAAAAGCACUCCCUCGUUCACGUCUGCCUGGAUUCGCGCCCUCAAGCCCCCUGGCGCCCACUUUUCUUGCUCUCCAAACACUCGUUGAGGCCCGAGAGGGAGAUGCGAAGUUUGCCCACCACUGCGCGUCCCUCCUCCGCGAGGCGCCAAUGGGCCUGAGUCAGGGGCCUCCCCUUCAUCCGCUGGUCCCUCCCCUGUUCCCAGCUCCAGUUCCUCACCCGCUAUGGCUGGCCUGGCGCCUGUGGCCGUUCACCGUCUGCGAGGCAUCUGCGGGGACUGAAGUCGGGGAGGCAGCGGCGGGCUCUGGCAGAUACCAGGAGAUCCCGCCCCUCGGCCCGGGAGACCCCGCCCCUCGGCCACGCCCCUUUCCGCUCCCCACCCCGCCCUCUUGGGCCCCCCACCCGGCCCAGCCAGACAGAGACCUGCCUCCAGGUGGGUGGGAGGAGACCUUCAGUCCCUCGCCCCGGGCCUGUUGUCACUACCUCCCCCAAACACAUUGGUUAAAGUCACCCGAUUAGAAGGGGCCACCUGUGAGACUUGGAUCCAAAGCAAACUAGCGGAAGCUGAAGGGUCUUGGGGCUUCCCAGGCCUCUCGGAGGCCGGGAUGGUCGUGGAGGAGGGAGCGCUCAGUGCCUGGCCUACUGCCUGCCCUGAGCCGGCUCCCUACAGGACGCUUCUCCUGUACCUUCCACCUGCUGCGAGGAAGGGCUGGGGGCAGGCGUACCCAUUUUCCAGAGGAGAACUGAAGGCUCUCACCCCGGGUUAGGCCAGUGGCCGGAGGCAGAGCCGGGCCUUGAACCUGGCUUUCUGGAUCUUCAUCCAGGCCAUUCUAAAGGGGAUCACAGUUUCCAGGAGUCACUCCUGAAGAUGGUCAAGUACCAUGGAGGGGCAGGGCAUCCAUGGACCCUGAUUUGAGGCCCCGGAGCAGUUGGGACUGGUUUGGGCCACGGCUGGCCUAAUCUCCCCUCCACAGAGCCUGGGCAUUGUCCAGUUGGCAGCCAAGAGCCAUCUAUCCACUUUACAGCGGGCAGCUUUGACAGGCUGCUUGUUUCCAAGGACAAAGCCUGCAGGCUGUGGGUAGGCGAUAGCCACUGCGGACCUCGGGCUCAUUGCCUGGGUACAGGGGGUGGGGAGCCUGAGGUCUGCCAGGACCCAAGGGAGCCUCGAGGGUGGCCUGAGGACAUUGGGUCCUCACUCCUGGCCCCUCAGCCAACCCCCUCAUAGCCCAGGGCCAGGAAUUUUGGAAGGAAGAACCAGCCACUGGGAUGUUUUCACUUUUGGGUCACCCUGAUCCCCCCAGAAUCGAGGCUUGGCCAUCAGCCAGCUUUUAUGUGACCCAGGCAGCUCUCUCCACUCUGUUUCUUCUUCUACAGAAUGUUGAGAAUCACCUCUUUCUCUCAGGGACAUAAAGCAUGGCUGUGAGAGAGAUUUGUUUCUAGGAUGCUUUCCCUGACCUCCACUUAAAUUGGCUCAGGAGUUCCCUGAUCUCCACAAAUGUCAGGAACUUGUCCACCCGCCUGCCCCCAGCACCCAGGUUACACCUGACAAAAUGAUCUGUGACAUGCCUGGCCUGGAGCCUGGCACACAGCAGGUGCUCAGUAAAUACAUAUUUGGCCGGGCGCGAUGACUCACGUCUGUAACCCCAUCACUUUGGGAGGCCGAGGUGGAUGGAUCACCUGAGGUCACGUGUUUGAGACCAUCCUGGCCAACAUGGCGGAACCCUGUCUCUACUAAAAAUACAAAAAUUAGCUGGUUGUGGUGGCGCGUGCCUGUAAUCCCAGCUGCUGGGGAGGCUGAGGCAGGAGAACCUGGGAGGCGGAGGUUGCAGUGAGCCAAGAUCAUGCCAUCACACUCCAGCCUGGGUGACAGAACAAGGCUCAGUCUCAAAAUGAAUACAUACAUACAUACCUAUUUGUAUUAGGAGGAGAAAACCAAGAACCAGAGAAGAGAAGAGAAGGGAAGGGACCUGUGGCCACAUAGCAAGGCCAUGGCACAGCCGAAGUCUCCUCUGCUUUCCUCAUGCAGCCCCGUCCAACCCAUCUCUUUCAUCUCUUUUCUUAAAACUUAAAAAUAUUUUCAGGGGGGUGUGGUGGCUCAUGCCUAUAAUCCCAGCAAUUUGGGAGGAUGAGAUGGGAGGAUUGCUUGAGCCCGGGAGUUUGAGGCUGCAGUGAGCCACUGUAGUCCAGCCGGGGUGACACAGCCAGACUCCAUCUUUUUCUCUGUAUAUUUUUUCACCUCUACCUGAUGUGACUGAGUAACUGCUGGGGUACAUCACCUCUUUCAGGUGAUGGAAAUGUUCUAAAGUUGAUUAUGCUGAUGGUUGGUUGCCCAGCUGUGAAUGCAGUAAAAACAUUGAGCCGUACACUUUAAAUGGACAAGUUAUGUGUGAAUUAUAUCUCAAUAAAGCUCUGUGCCCCACCCAAAUCUCCUGUCAAACUGUGAUUCAUAGCGUUGGAAGUGGGGCCGGGUGGAAGGUGACUAGAUCAUGGGGGCGGAUCCUUCAUAAAUGAU